rnacentral:rRNA from 1 species
UGGGGAAUAUUGCACAAUGGGCGCAAGCCUGAUGCAGCCAUGCCGCGUGUAUGAAGAAGGCCUUCGGGUUGUAAAGUACUUUCAGUCGGGAGGAAGGUGGUAAGGUUAAUAACCUUAUCAAUUGACGUUACCGACAGAAGAAGCACCGGCUAACUCCGUGCCAGCAGCCGCGGUAAUACGGAGGGUGCAAGCGUUAAUCGGAAUUACUGGGCGUAAAGCGCACGCAGGCGGUUGAUUGAGUCAGAUGUGAAAUCCCCGGGCUUAACCCGGGAAUUGCAUCUGAUACUGGUCAGCUAGAGUCUUGUAGAGGGGGGUAGAAUUCCAUGUGUAGCGGUGAAAUGCGUAGAGAUGUGGAGGAAUACCGGUGGCGAAGGCGGCCCCCUGGACAAAGACUGACGCUCAGGUGCGAAAGCGUGGGGAGCAAAAAGG